GCGUGUAGCUCAGGUGGUAGAGCACUUGACUUUUAAUCAAGUUGUCCGGGGUUCGAAUCCCCGCA
rnacentral:tRNA from 24 species